GCCUGAAUAGCUCAGUGGUAGAGCUCCUGACUAGAGUUGCCGGGGUCCCGGGUUCAAUUCCCGGUCCAGCCA
rfam:Crassostrea gigas strain 05x7-T-G4-1.051#20 contig30265, whole genome shotgun sequence.